UCCAGUCAAAAAUAAGUCUUUAAGG
rnacentral:piRNA from 1 species